CCUCCCGUACCCAUCCCGAACACGGAAGAUAAGCUCACCAGCGUUUCGGUGAGUACUGGAGUGCGCGAGCCUCUGGGAAAUCCGAUUCGCCGCCACCA
rnacentral:rRNA from 1 species